rnacentral:lncRNA from 1 species
AAGACUACUACUACUACUACUGCUGAAGGAGAGGUGAAAACAGAGGAGGAGAAAAAAGGGUUUAUGGAGAAGCUGAAGGAGAAGCUUCCAGGACACGGAAAGAAGCCUGAAGAUGCCUCAGCCGCCGCCCCCGCCGCACCUGUUGUUGUUCCUCCGGUGGAGGAAGCGCAUCCGGCGGAGAAGAAGGGGAUUUUGGAGAAGAUUAAGGAGAAGCUUCCAGGAUACCAUCCCAAGACCGUAGAGGAGGAGAAGAAGGAAAAGGAAUCUGGUUAAGACGAAGAAAAAGCGGAUGAUCAUUAUUAAUAUGAAUAAU